rnacentral:tRNA from 1 species
AAGGAUUUAAGUUAAAUAUAAACUAGUAACCUUCAAAGUUACCAAUAUAAGCAGAUUAAGCCUUA